AUGGUGGUGCAGUUUUUCAAGAAGAGGAAGUUUGUCAUUGAUGGUAUCUUCAAAGCUGAACUGAAUGAAGUUCUCAUUCAGGAGCUGGCUGAAGAUAGCUACUCUGGAGUUGAGGUCUGAGUUACACCAGCUAGGACAGAAAUCUUUACCUUAGCCACCAGAACACAGAAUGUUCUUGGUGAGAAGGGCUGGCAUAUUUGGGAAUUGACUGCUGUAGUUCAGAAGAGGUUUGGCUUUUCAGAGGGUAAAGUAGAGCUUUAUGCUGAAAAGGUGUCUACAAGAGAUAUGUGCCAUUGUCCAGGCAGAGUCUCUGUGUUACAAACCCCUAGGAGGGCUUGCUGUGCAGAAGGCCUGCUAUGGUGUGCUGCGGUUCAUCAUGGAGUGUGGGACUAAAGGCUUCAAGGUCAUUGUGUCCAGGAAACUCUGAGGACAGAGGGCUAAAUCCAUGAAGUUUGUGAAUGGCCUGAUGAUCCACAGCUGGGACCCUGUUAAUACUAUGUUGACACCGCUGUGCACCAUGUGCUGCUCCAACAGGCUGUGCUGGGCAUCAAGGUGAAGGUCAUGCUUCCCUGGGAACCAGCUGGUAAGAUUAGCCCUAGGAAGUCCCUGCCCGACCAGGGGCAGGGGACCCAUCUUUGGGUUCGUGGAACCCAAAGAUGAGAUACUCUCCACCACUCCCAUCUCAGAAGAGAAGGGUAGGAAGCCAGAGCCACCUGCCAUGUCCCAGCCAGUCCCCACAGCAUAA
rnacentral:lncRNA from 1 species